GUAUUAGCUCAGUCGGUUAGAGUGCGGUACUGACAAUGCCAAGGUUGCAGGUUCGAUCCCCGUGUGGGACA